UAGGGAAUCUUCCACAAUGGACGCAAGUCUGAUGGAGCAACGCCGCGUGAGUGAAGAAGGUUUUCGGACCGUAAAGCUCUGUUGUUGGUGAAGAAGGAUAGAGGUAGUAACUGGCCUUUAUUUGACGGUAAUCAACCAGAAAGUCACGGCUAACUACGUGCCAGCAGCCGCGGUAAUACGUAGGUGGCAAGCGUUGUCCGGAUUUAUUGGGCGUAAAGCGAGCGCAGGCGGAAGAAUAAGUCUGAUGUGAAAGCCCUCGGCUUAACCGAGGAAUUGCAUCGGAAACUGUUUUCUUGAGUGCAGAAGAGGAGAGUAGAACUCCAUGUGUAGCGGUGGAAUGCGUAGAUAUAUGGAAGAAUACCAGUGGCGAAGGCGGCUCUCUGGUCUGCAACUGACGCUGAGGCUCGAAAGCAUGGGUAGCGAACAGGAUUAGAUACCCUGGUAGUCCAUGCCGUAAAACGAUGAGUGCUAAGUGUUGGGAGGCUUCCGCCUCUCAGUGCUGCAGCUAACGCAUUAAGCACUCCGCCUGGGGGAGUACGACCGCAA
rnacentral:rRNA from 1 species